CGAGGAGCUAAGUGAGGUCUAAUAUAUGUGGAAUUAUGAAAAGAUUUACCUAUUUCUUCGUUUUAAAAAGCACUUAUUUCAAUACCAAAACCAUGAAUUUUUUGCACCCAUUUGCAAUCACUUCAGUGAGCGUGAUGGCUUAGAUUCCCAAAAGAUGAGAAGCAGAAAGAAAUUAGAACAGAAAUAUAAGGUCAUCAUAACUGGAGUGUCUGGAGUCAGAUUCAUUGGCCUAGCAAUAAGUUUUUCAUAUGGACUGAUAUUCGC